UCCUUUUUUCUCUCUAACAAAUUUCUUGCGUAACACGAUAACCCUCAUUCUGAUUGAUAUCAUAAAAGCUUUAUGCUAAGUUACACAUCUCCCUUAAAGAAUAUUGAUUUACAAUAAAAAAAAAAUAUGUGCUUUUAAUAAAUUUAAUCGAAGCGGGUAAAACGGUUCAGGAGGUUUAUUGUUUGACCACUAGAUAGCGGGAUAACCUUGAUCGACAGUUUUGUUUAGAUUUGUAGGAGUGUAGUUAGUAGUAUUUCGCACACAAUCAAACAUCUUGAAAAGCUGGGCAUGAAGUAACCAAUAAGCGAUUUGCCAGUCUAAUCGUUCCAACGUCAUUGCAUAACUCGUGUUGCUUUUUAAACCAAUUAUUUAAUGCGCUGCGUGCAAUGAUUUUGCACUUGGAGACGUUUUCCGAUCGAUGUCACGCGUGUGUAAUGACGCCGACCGAAAAUGCGAAUGGGCGUAAUAACGCCGGCAAGUUCUGCGAAUUGGAUAUACGUCAGAACUAACCUAAGAAAAAAGUUCAUUGUGUUGUUCUAACGAGAUAAAUAUUGUUAUAAGACAGUAUGAAUCGCUACUCAACCUUAUUUCAUCGAAUUUCGACCUCGAUAUGUUUGACGUUGUUGCUCUCGUGUACAACGUCUGUAAUAAUUUACGUAUAGGUUAACUUACAGCGUCCAUAGACGUUUACAAUCUGUCAUUUAAAUUCAACAUUUUUUAAAUCGUAAUGUAAUAUAUAAAUAUAAAUAUAAAGCUGACGUUUUAUUAAAAAUAAUACGUCCUUAGCCAUGUAUUUUAUAAUAAGCACAACUUUUGAAACGUUCCUGUUAACCAAUGUUGGGUCAUACAAAUUCGAAGCAAUCUUUAAGAAUGAAUUCAAUUUCAUUUUGAAAUAAUUUUUGAAUUUGUGUAUUUAUACUAUAAUUAAAAUAAUAACAGAUUCAUUAUAAUGCAUUUAUGAUUAAAUGCCAUGCAUUCUAUAUGUGAAGAAUAAUGUUUAAAAUUAGUGUAUAUUGGUGUAUAACCUGAUUGCAUUAAAAAUGCAAGCCAAGAAGCGCUAUUUAUUAUUAUUUGUAACAUGUGCGUUUCUUGGUUAUUGUUAUUUUGGUGGUUAUCGAUUAAAAAGUGAAAAGUGGACAGGCAGAUCUCAGUUGCCUUAUGAGCGAUUGCCUUCAUAUUUAAGUCUAAAUGAAGAAUUCUAUGACAAGGAUUUGAGAACAUCAAAUGGAAACCCAAUUAUGUCUCAACGUACAAAACAAUGCCGUAUGGAGACUUGUUUUGACUUUACCAAAUGCAAGCAAGGUUUCACAGUAUAUGUGUAUCCAAUUGAAGAUGUGAUAAGUCCACUAUACCAAAAAAUAUUGAAUGUUAUUACAGAAUCAAGAUAUUAUACAUCAGAUCCUACUCGAGCAUGUAUAUUUGUAUUAGCUCUUGAUACAUUGGAUAGAGAUCCAUUAUCAACAGAAUUUGUGCAUAAUCUUCCUUCAAAAUUAAUGCGUUUACCAUAUUGGAAUAAUGGCAGAAAUCAUUUGAUAUUUAAUUUGUAUUCUGGAACAUGGCCUGAUUAUGCAGAAGAAUCUUUAGCCUUUGAUUUAGGAUAUGCUAUGCUUGCAAAGGCUAGCAUGUCUAUUUUUAGACAUAGACCUGAAUUUGAUAUAUCUAUUCCAUUGUUUGGAAAACAACAUCCAGAACGUGGUGGAGAAUCAGGACAAGCUUUAGAAAAUAAUUUUCCUAAUAAUAAAAAAUACAUUGCAGCUUUCAAGGGUAAAAGAUACGUCCAUGGUAUAGGUUCUGAAACUAGAAAUGCCCUUUAUCAUUUACAUAAUGGCAAGGAUUUAGUGUUUGUUACAACUUGCCGUCAUGGUAAAGCAUGGAGAGAAUUACAAGAUGAACACUGUCAACAAGAUAAUCAAGAAUAUGAUAUGUAUGAUUAUGAAAUUUUAUUAAUGAAUGCUACCUUUUGUCUUGUACCAAGAGGAAGAAGACUUGGUAGUUUUCGAUUUUUAGAAGCUUUAAGAGCUGGAUGCAUUCCAGUUAUUUUAAGUAAUGGUUGGGCACUUCCUUUUCACGAACGAAUUGAUUGGACACAAGCUGUUAUAUUUUCUGAUGAAAGACUGUUACUUCAAAUUCCAGAUAUAGUGCGGUCUGUGUCUAAUGUGCAUAUUCUUAAAUUACGGCAGCAAACGCAAUUCCUUUGGGAACGGUAUUUUUCGUCGAUAGAAAAAAUUGUAUUUACAGUAUUUGAGAAUAUUCGCGAGCGUUUACCUUGGGAAGGUACAAGAGAAAAGCUUGUUUGGAAUACUAAUCCUGGAGCAUUAGCAAUAUUACCACAAUUUGCUGAUAGUCAACAAGAACUUCCAUUUUCGAAAAGUAAUCCAGGUAAUACCUUCACUGCCAUCAUCUACUCGCAGUUAGGAUCUACUGCUGUCUUAUAUCGGCUGCUUAAGAGUCUCGCGAAAAGUAAAUAUCUAGAUAAGAUUAUUCUCAUGUGGAAUUCGGAUAUUCCAUUACCAAGAAGACCACGAUGGCAAGGGAUCAAAGCAUCAAUACAUGUUCUCACGGUUGAUGGUAUAUCUCAACGUUUCUAUCCUCAUCCAUUAAUCAAAACUAGUGCCAUAUUAUCUCUAGAUGAAGAUGCUACACUCAAUACAGAUGAAAUUGAUUUUGCCUUUACGGUAUGGAAAUCGUUUCCUGAUCGAAUAGUUGGUUAUCCAGCAAGAUCACAUUAUUGGGAUGAUUCAAAACGUUCAUGGGGUUAUACAAGUAAAUGGACAAAUGAUUAUAGUAUAAUUCUAACUGGUGCCGCCUUUUAUCAUCGUUAUUAUAAUACAUUGUAUACCGAAUUACUGAGUUCGACGCUUCACAAGACUGUCGAGCAAUCGCAAAAUUGCGAGGAUAUACUUAUGAAUUUUUUAGUAAGUCAUGUAACGCGAAGACCACCUAUCAAAGUAACUCAACGAAAGUUGUAUAAAGAUACCACAGUGGCAGGAAUCAGAGAUUUGUAUCCAUGGGAGAAGAUCUCGACUCGAGCACGCCCGAUUCUUCCCGAGAUACGAUACACCGUUCAAAAAUUCCUGAGAGCCGCGAAGAAAGGAGAAAGAGAUGCGUGGAGAUCGACGCGAAACUUUUCUCUCUCGUUGGUCACGUAAGCCGAGAAUGGUUUCAGGGUUACCGAUACGAGGAACGGAAAAAUCUGAUCGAAGGAAGGCGGAUUUGGUGGUGGAAAGAUCGGUACCCACCACCACCAUCACUUUCGAGCGCGCCAUCACCACCACCACCACCGCCGCCGCUACCACCUCCAGCUCCAGCGCGAAUUGUGGCCCACCACCAUCGUUCGUUCGGCGAUCGCGAGCACGCGAAUGGUGGUGGCCACGCGAUAUAGUACCAACACUCCCUUCUUUGUUGCUGCUUUGCUAGAAAGCAUAUGUUUUGCGACGUCGAUGGAGCUCUCCCGGCUUUGAACGGCGCUGAACAUCGAAGCUGCUGCUCCUCCUUUUUCUUUUCCUCCUCAUUUUUUUUUUUCUCUUCCCCCCGCCC
rnacentral:misc_RNA from 1 species